rnacentral:rRNA from 1 species
UGGGGAAUUUUGGACAAUGGGGGCAACCCUGAUCCAGCAAUGCCGCGUGAGUGAAGAAGGCCUUCGGGUUGUAAAGCUCUUUUGUCAGGGAAGAAACGGUAGUAGCGAAUAACUAUUACUAAUGACGGUACCUGAAGAAUAAGCACCGGCUAACUACGUGCCAGCAGCCGCGGUAAUACGUAGGGUGCAAGCGUUAAUCGGAAUUACUGGGCGUAAAGCGUGCGCAGGCGGUUGUGUAAGUCAGAUGUGAAAUCCCCGGGCUCAACCUGGGAAUUGCAUUUGAGACUGCACGGCUAGAGUGUGUCAGAGGGGGGUAGAAUUCCACGUGUAGCAGUGAAAUGCGUAGAUAUGUGGAGGAAUACCGAUGGCGAAGGCAGCCCCCUGGGUUAACACUGACGCUCAUGCACGAAAGCGUGGGGAGCAAACAGGAUUAGAUACCCCUGUAGUCCCUGAGCGGGCUGGCAAGGCGCAU